rnacentral:rRNA from 1 species
GCUACGGGAGGCUGCAGUGAGGAAUAUUGGUCAAUGGGCGCGAGCCUGAACCAGCCAAGUCGCGUGAGGGAGGACGGCCCUACGGGUUGUAAACCUCUUUUGCCGGGGAGCAACGGACGCCACGUGUGGCGUCACUGAGAGUACCCGGAGAAAAAGCACCGGCUAACUCCGUGCCAGCAGCCGCGGUAAUACGGAGAUUGCGAGAGUUAUCCGGAUUUAUUUGGUUUAAAGGGUGCGUAGGCGGGUCGUGAAGUCAGUGGUCAAAUUGCGGGGAUCAACCCCUUCCCGCCAUUGAAACUGGCGUUCUUGAGUGGAAGAGAGGUAUGCGGAAUGCGUGGUGUAGCGGUGAAAUGCAUAGAUAUCACGCAGAACCCCGAUUGCGAAGGCAGCAUGCCGGCGUCCGACUGACGCUGAAGCACGAAAGCGUGGGGAUCGAACAGGAUUAGAUACCCGAGUAGUC